ACUGUAGCUAGAAUUUACUUGCAAUUGUAGGUAUCAUCAUGAACAGGCUAACUCUGUUUGUUCUUCUCCUUGCUAUCAUUCAAGUGCACUGCAACCCUGCUGCUUCUAAAAGAAGUUGGGAUGGUCCAGGACCACUAAAAGAUGAGAAUAAGCAUGAUUCUCAGCUGAUGGAUGCUACAGGCAAAGAAGAAGAUAAGGAAGAAAUCAAUCUUGACCUUGGUGAUGUUGAUGAGGAUGAAGACAAAGAAGGUGACAACAAAAAUGACAUAAAAGAUAAUGAUGACAGUGGAAAAGAUAAAGAUGAUAAAGACAACACAGAUGAUGAGGAUGAUAAAGAUGAUAAUUGAUAAUUUUAAAAGUGAUCUUGAAGAAUGUAAGUAUAUACAGUCUAUUACAACAUAUAUUUAAAUUAUAUUGCACUGGCAAAUAAAAUAUCUCAAGCACCUGCUAACUUCAGUGAAGAGUAUGGUAGUAGUGAAGAUGUUAUAGAGGGAGACAUCAAAAUGACUCCAGAGCAGGCUGCACUCUUCAAGCGUGGUGGAUGGGAUGAGUUAGUCAAUUCAGAAGCAUGGCUCCGUAACCAUGGCAAGUGGUCAAGGACUAUCCCAUACACAAUUAGUGGAGUUGCUACUAGAGAAAGGAAUGCUUUUAACAAGUUUAAUCAAAAUGUUUCAUGAUCUUACAUGCCUUCGAUUUACUCCAAGACAGAGUUAUAACCGUGAUUAUAUUCAAUUUGUUAGUCGAGGAGGUUGUUGGUCCUAUCUUGGUAAACAACCUCCAGGAAGAUAUGCCAGACCUCAGCUAGUCUCAUUAGCUAGUGGUUGCUAUCUUGCUGUCCCUGCUCAUUAGAUAAUGCAUGCACUUGGACGAUUUCAUGAACAAUCACGAGCUGACAGAGACACAUACGUCAGAAUAAUAACUGGAAAUAUAAGAAGUGGAUAUGCAGGAAAUUUUGUCAGACGAACUACUUCUGACAGCCAAUCUCUACCAUAUAAUUAUCUUUCAUUGAUGCAUUAUGGUAGAACUACUUUCAGUAGAAACGGUCAACCUACAAUUCAACCAAAACCUUAUUCAUUCAUCACUAUUGGCCAGAGAAACAGGUUGUCAAUGUAUGAUGUACAACACAUUAAUAUUCGAUACUGUCCAGAAAGAGCUCUUAGAUUAGUUGGAGGCAGAGGAUCAUUUGAAGGAAGAGUUGAAGUGUUUUGGAAUGGACAGUGGGGAACUGUCUGUGAUGAUUCAUUUGGUAGAAUGAUGGUCGUGUAAUUUGCAAGUAUAUGGGUUUCCCUGAUGUUGUUGCAACAUACCAUAGAGCUCGAUUUG